GGAUCAGUACGCUGGUCGUGCCUUCGGUAUGUACUGGUGUUACUGGUUCCUACCUUCUGACGAACCGUCAUGUCAUUAAUUUGGUGUGGCGGGGAAUCAGGACUGUUACUUUGAAAAAAUUAGAGUGUUUAAAGCAGGCGUUUGCUUGAAUACAUUAGCAUGGAAUAAUGGAAUAGGGCU
rnacentral:rRNA from 1 species